rnacentral:rRNA from 1 species
AGACGUGAAAUUCCUGGGCUCAACCUGGGGGCUGCGUAUGAUACGUGCUGUCUGGAGUUCGGAAGAGGGUCGUGGAAUUCCCAGUGUAGAGGUGAAAUUCGUAGAUAUUGGGAAGAACACCGGUGGCGAAGGCGGCGACCUGGUCCGAUACUGACGCUGAGGCGCGAAAGCGUGGGGAGCAAACGCGAUUAGAUACCCUGGUAGUCCACGCCGUAAACGAUGGGCACUAGGUGCUUGGGGGAGCGACCCCCUGAGUGCCGGCGCUAACGCAUUAAGUGCCCCGCCUGGGGAGUACGGCCGCAAGGCUAAACUCAAAGGAAUUGACGGGGGCCCGCACAAGCGGUGGAGCAUGUGGUUUAAUUCGACGCAACGGGUAGAACCUUACCUGGGCUUGACAUGGACCGGAUCGCCUCUGGAACAGGGGCUUCCCUUCGGGGCCGGUUCACAGGUGCUGCAUGGCUGUCGUCAGCUCGUGUCGUGAGAUGUUG